AUGGGUCUGGAAUCAAAACCUUUUGACAUGGACCCAGCCUUCAUCCAAGCCCCUGAGCACAGGCCCUCAGCCAUCUCUCACCAAUUUGCAGAAGGUGUCCCCAUAAUCGACCUCUCUCCUCUCUUGUCGCCCGAUUCCAAGAAAUCGAACCUUCUCUCUAUAGAAUUUAUAGAUCCUGCGACUCUCUCAACUUUGGUGGAUAAAAUCAAACAUGGGUGCAAAGACUGGGGUUUCUUCCAAGUCAUAAACCAUGGGGUUCCAAUAGAGCUUAGAAGAGCUGUAGAGGAAGUGUCUAUCAAAUUCUUUGGAUUUCCAUUGCCGGAGAAGCGAAAAGUUCGGCGAGAUGAGGAGAAUACAAUGGGGUAUUAUGAUGAGGAGAAUACAAAGAAUGUGAGAGAUUGGAAAGAGGUAUUUGAUUUCUCGGUGAGGAGCCCCAUUGUAAUUCCGGAGCUUGAGGGCGACAGCAUAAAAAGUGUCACCACCUUGGCGAACCAGUGGCCGGAGAAUCUGCCAGAAAUGAGGCAUGGAGUGUUUGAAUUUUGCUCUUUUGUUAUAGAUUAUUAGGCGUACUUUGACUGGAAUUUUCCCAAAAUGACAAAAUUUUGGUUAGAAAUUGUCUAUAGUUUUGGAAAACUAUGGUUAAUCUUGGAAUUUCACUAUCUUUAACUAAGAUUUGCUCAAAAAACUAGCAAAAUGGCCAUUUCUAGUCUGUCCUUCACCAGUGUACAGAAAAUAGACUCGGCCAAGGUACUAGGGCCUUGGCCGAGUCCUCCCGAGUCAAGUGCAGGGCAGGCGCCUUUUGGCCAAAAAAAUAUAAAAAAAAUAAAAAAUAAUUAAACAUAUAGUAAAAGUAAAUUGAAACCUAAAAGACGAUUAAAAAUGUAGAGAAAAAAUGAUUGACUGAUCUACAAAUUGGGAUAUUAAAAAAAAAUAAAAAAAAAUAUAAAAGUUGUGAUUAUGGGAAAAGAAACACUCACCAAUCUUUACCAAAUUCAUCCUAUUCAUAUACAAAAAGAUUAUAAAACAAUCCAUUAUUUUUUCAUUUUUUAUUUGUUUUUAGAUUUGUUUUUUGAAUUUUUUUAUAUACGUGAGUUGUGCAACCAACUUAGGGAAACUCGUCUUGUCCCACUGACUUAACCCCCCCUCCCCCUGCUCUUAACAAACAAAGAAAUCUUGCCCAAGAAUAAUUUAGACACUAGUUUAAGUGGUUAUACUUUUGGCAGGUAGGUUGAAUCUUUACAGUCUGUUAAGAAACUCCCUUUUUUUUUCCUCUGAAGGUUGUUAUGGAACUCAUUUUUGUAGAUACAUUCAAUUUGGUACACCACUUUGACAAGAUCAAUGAAAUGCGAAAAAUAAAUUAAGAAAAAAAAACAAAAUUUGCAAAAAAUCCUUAAGAAUAGUUUGCCCUCUCUCUUUAUUUAUUUUUAGAUGUAUAUAGUUUUAUGGAGUUGGAUUAGAAAAUUAAGAGAGUAACCCUUUUUAAUCUCUAACCCUAUCACUUGAUAGGAUAGGGGUCCAAUGAUCUCAACAUACAUCCUGCAUUAAGAUUGUAGGCAUAAAUCAUACAUGACUAUUCUCCUAUAAGGAAUACAUUUUGCUUAAAGAUCAUUCUCUUACACAAUUGUUCUUUAGUGAAUGACCUAUCUUGUCAUAAAUUUGACUGAGUUUGGAUCAUCUUCAUCAUUUGUGCUUGGGAACCAACAUUUGAGAUUGAUGUCCACAAUUUAUGUAGAAUCAAGUCUCAAAGGAUCAUUGCCCUAUUAUUUAAAGAGUGAGAUUUGUAGAACGCCGCAACCUUAAACAAUCAAAGUACUUGAACAAACAAAGUAAGGUGCACUUUCAAACUUUGUUAUAAGAUACAAUUUUGGUGUCAAAAAUUUUUAGGAUGGCCCGAGAAUUUAUUUUUAUCUCUAAUUAUGAAAUUUUAAACUUCAAAAAUGGUUCAAACCAAACAAAUCUAUAAAUGUAUGAAAGUCACCUCUAUUAAUUCUACUAUGGUGUCAACCUUAUACAAACUUUUUCCUGAUUUAAAAAGAACACAUUUUCAAGCUCACAAAAUCUAGUGCACUAAUAAACCUUUAACUUGUGUGUUGAAGGAGCGUAUGCAAAGCAUAUGCACAGGCCACUCAGAAGCUUGCAGUACGAUUGCUAGAGCUCAUUUCAUUGAGCUUAGGAUUGCCAGUCUCACGCUUGAAUGCUUUUUUCAAGGACCAGACAAGUUUUAUAAGGUUGAAUCACUACCCUCCAUGCCCAUCUCCAAAUGAGGCACUAGGAGUGGGAAGACAUAAAGAUUUUGGAGCCCUAACUGUGCUCGCACAGGACGACGUUGGUGGUCUCGAGGUGAAGCGCAAGGAUGGUGAGUGGGUCGCUGUGAAGCCGGUGCCAAAUUCUUAUAUAAUCAAUAUAGGGGAUAUAAUUCAGGUAUGUGAAAAGAUAAAGAACACUAGUUCAUUGAUUUCUUUUCUCUAACUUUGGGUGAACAUUUUCUUGAAAUUCAAGCUCAGAAUUGUGAGAAAGCAUAUAGGAUUGAUUGUUUUCGUUUAGCAUGUUUUACUUCAUGGUGCAUAUGCGUUAAGCAGCACUGAUGUGGAUAAUGGAUAAGUAAAGGUGUGUCACUCCUUAGGGCUGAGAAUUUACCCAGUUCAGAUCCUAAACCUGAAUUUUGGAUCCUAUUCAGAUCUGGAUAUGGAUCCAAGAUUUGGAUCUGAAAUUCGGAUUUGGAUCUAAAAUUUGGAUCCAAAUGACUAUUCGGAUCAAAUAUGGGUAAAUGUGAAUCCAAUAUGGUCAUUAAAAUAGUAUAUAUUAAUCUUAUAGUUAUAUAUUUAUUAAUUUAUAUAUAGUAUUUUUAACUUUCAAAGACCUUAUCCCCAUUAUGGAUCGGAUUGUGGAUUUGGAUCCUAUAGAUAGUUUUUCGAUCCGGAUCUUGAUUUGGAUCUGAUCAUAUUCAAAUCCUAUGUAUACUUUUUUGAUCUAGAUCUGGAUCUGGGUUGCCCCAGACCCGAUCCGAAAAAUUCCUACCCGAUCAUUCAUCAGCUCGAAGUUCCAAUUACUAUCAUAAUAUACUUUCCCUGUUUUUUCCUUGGGGUAGCAACUGGUUCUAGCCACAACCUCAAAGUUGCAGCAACAAGCAUCUUCGAGUUGAGCUAUGGGAUCAAAACCUUUGCAUUUAUAAUUUGAUGCAUUAACUACGAUGGAAACAUAAAAAUGUAUUUGUUUCCUUGUAACUCUCCAUUCUUGAAAUUUAAUAUGAUUCCCAUUGAUGAAAAUUUAUUCUAACAAAUAAAGAAGGUACUCAAGAAAUAUCUAUUGGUCAUAUAAGAAAUUAAUCAAGCUAAACCUAGAUAAAACUGAAUUUUCAUUAUUUGUUCUCAUCCAUUAUUUGCCUUUAACAUUUUGUAGGUGUGGAGCAAUGAUGAGUACGAGAGUGCGGAGCACAGAGUGGUAGUGAACUCCAAGAGGGAGAGGUUUUCAAUGCCCUUCUUUUACAUACCUUCUGCUUGUGAGUUCAUAGAGCCACUUGAAGAAAAGAUGUCUGAGAAAAAUCCCCCAAACUAUUUACCAUACAAUUGGGGUCACUUUUAUAUUAGCAGAAAACUUAGCAAUUUCAAGAAGAGGAACACUGAAAACCUUCAGAUACAGCACUUUAGAGCAUCCAAGCUGAAUGCUUAGGGGGUUUGAAACUUUAGGAAGUAAUCAAAUAUGUAAUGAAAUAAUAGGCCUGUAAAGAGUCUUUGAAGUAGUCAUACAAUUUAAUAUAUGACUUAUACUGUGAAAUGUAAGCUUGGAACACUAUGAUUUUAUUCUAUGUAGAUAUAGUGCCAUGCUUGGGCUAUCUAGACAUGUUUGCUUUUGUUGGUCUACUUUUUUGUAGGUUUAAGGUUUUAUAUUUAAUUUCCAACCUUUUAAAAGGAACAAUUAAGGUUGUUUAUUAGGAACACUGAAUAGUGCUUGUUUGUAAUCUUGAACAAGUAGAGGUAAUUAUUGACACUCAGCCCUUGAAAUGCUCCUGAUUGUCUAGUUCUCCCAACUCUGAAUAGGUAGUUCUACAAACUUUUUAAGAUUUUUUUAAGGAGGUAUCUGCGUGAUAUGAAAAUAAAAAGCAACUCUUUUUAUGUUAAUUUUAAUAAUUUAACUUUUUAAUGAUUUUGUAAGGUGUUUUAACCCCUUAAAUGAUAUUUUUUCCUUAUAUGAUAUUUUCACUUAAAAAAAGAGGCGACCCGAAGAUCCUUUUUGCCGAUAUUUUGGAUCAAUCUUAUUGAAUUCAAAUACUGGAUCACAUUUUCGUGCCAAAAAAAGUACAUUUCGAAACACUAGAUCAUAUUUUGAAAUGGCUCCUUUUUGAGCCAUUUCAGUUUCGUGAAAUUGUAAAAGGAAUGUUUAAUUAAAACGAUUAAAAUAUUUUUUUACAAACUUUUGAAUUGGUUUUGAAUCAUAGUACAAUUUAAAUAAGUUUUGAAUCAAUUCGAACCGGUCACUCCUAGUUGGGAAUUUUAUUAGAAAUCCAAUUUGAAUUUAAACAAUGAACAGGCAACCUAAGCAUAUACAACGAAAAAACCAUUAUAGAAAUCUGCUGACAAUGAACAAACUUCCUAAAAACAUCUGAAGAGAAAACAUAAUAAGAAACUGAACAAUGAAAUAUCAGCCUAGGCAUAUCUGAAGAAACUAUAAUAGCAACUCAAGCUGCACAUAAAAGAGUACAAACUAUCAUCGGGACAGGGGAAACAAAACGAAGCCCAUAGUUGAACCUCGCUGCUGGGUUUCACAAAUAACUUUAGCCUCAUCUUUCGCAGCAUAGUCCACGGUUAGAUGUCAGUCAUUUCAAAUUGUUUUUCUAAAUGAAUAAAGAAGUGAUGACUAUUUUCAGGUGAAGGAUCCGUGAGUGCAGAAGUUUUUCAAGGUUGAUGGAAAGUAUGGUAUGAUCCAUUUCGUUAAUGUAACGGCACAACCGUCAUCACCAUCCCAUUAAUAAGUUGGACGAUGAUGGAGGGAGAGCAGGUGCACCACCAGACAUGCCAUUGAUUCAAAUAUCACUUCCCAUUUUUCAUUCAUCACCAUCCAACCCACUGAUUGGGUGGUGAUAACCCAUAUGACAUGGUCCUGCAGACCAUACUUAUCAUACUGUAUUUCUCAUAGUUAUUCAUACUAAACACAUAAUAAGCCAGUGAAUCAUCGAGAAUGAUUUUCAAAACAGCACGUAGUAUGCUUUCUUGCGCAGCAGAAGUCUAAGGUAUUUUCAAACCUUGAACUCUAUUUUUUUCUCAUGUCCAUGCAUUUUGAUGUCGAGAUGAUAAAUUUGAUGAUAUUUGGACACCAAAAUAAAUUCUUCUAGUGAAAGUUUUGAGGUAGGCUUUAAUUUGAUUGUUUAGAGCGUAGGCUCUAUAUAAACUUUUCCUUUUUGUUAAAAGCCUUCGGGACUCCCAAUUGUGUGUUUGAUGAGACAUUGAGAGUAUGAGGCACCUAUAGUAAAUGUUCAAUGGCCCAGAUUGUCUAUAGCUGCAGUAAACGUUCAAUGGUCUAGAUUGAAUAUGGGCUGAUUUAAAGGUCACGAUUGUAUUUUGUAUUUUAAUUUAAUUUUUUUUAUUUAAAAAUUCAAUUCAUUAGAAAUUUUGAGUGUGUACUCUAAAAAAUUAGGCAAACCUAAUAAAAAUGUUUAAUAAAUAAUUAAAAAAAAAAAUUAACCAAAAUACCUAUGAAAGUUGUAAGGGAAUUUUGAUCAAUUUAUUUUUUACGAAUAAUAUUUUUAAUAUUUUUAUUAGAUGCACCUUGAUGUGAAGAACAGAAACUCCAAAUUUCAAAUCAUUAAAAUUUAUAAAAAAUAUAUUAAAAUUUAAAUAUAAAAUAAACAUGUGACUAUCAAAUCUAUCUAUAUUCAAUCCGAAUCGUUGAACUUAUGCUAUUGAGCUGUUUUCUCGUGACAAUAUUUCUUGCUUUUUAGGGUGGUAAUGGCUAGGGCAGCUUGGGUUGGCCUGGUCAGUCCAGCCCUACAAAAUUGGGGUCUGGGCUAUAAAAUGUAGUCUGAGGGCCAGGGCCAGGGCUGGGCAACUAUAGUCUAAGGGUAGGGCUGCGCCGGGCCUGGGUCAAUGCUCCCCCGUUAGGACUGACACCUCAAAAGAUGGCCUUCAUCAGGCCUCUUUGACCGGUUCAGGACCUUGCCAGGCUGGGUCAGAGUAGGCCCAUUGUGUAUUUGGUGUAAUUGCGUCUGAGCGCGGAUAAGAUACUCCUGCGAAUCACGCUGUAGAUUUACUCUCGUUUUUCUUCAGCGGCGGUUUGUGGCAUGGUAGGUCUCUCUACCUAAGCUCUAACGCAUAGCAAGCAGGCAGGUAGGCAGGCCAUGCGGCAUCGCAGGUCUCUCUAUAAAACAGUGCAGUUGCGUGUGAGCAUUUGCGCCCAUGUGUUCUUCUGAUCUAUCAUGGCUAUGCAACCUCUUCAAAGACUCAAUCACGGAACUUACCGUGAGCUCUUUCUGCAAAUUUCGCCACUGUCUCUGUUUUCCUCUCUGAGCCUUAAGAAUUGCAAUUUUUAUAACUAUAUCGUUUUCUUCAAUUAUUUUUCAGGAUUGUGGUCCCAUUAUCCUAACUGAGGAGAGAGAAAUGGAUACAUUGAUACGGUUAUCACAGGUAUUGUCACUUCUUAUCUCUUUUCAGUUCUUAUUGUUUUUUGCCAUUAUUAGUUUUCACAUCCAAUUGGGUAAAAAUUAGGGUUUUCUUCUUAGCUAUUUUAACUAAAGAGGAGUUUGAUCUAGGUUUCCCAGCUGAUUCGGCAAAGAAUGGAUUCCGUUAAACUCAAAAAAGCAAUUGAACAAGUAAAGAAUGAAUAUAUAUGUUUUUAUAGUUUUAAGAUGUUAUGUUUCACUCAUCCAUACUUUAAUCCAAUGCUAUCCCAAGAGUACAAUACUUGUAGAUAUGUUUUCUAUACAUAAGCUAACCAUAUUUAGAAGCUUUGAAAAAAAUGGGUGAAAACUUCAAAAGAUUUUAAGCAUGUUUUAUCUCAUUAAAGAAAAUAAUUUUUUAAGCAUAUUUUAGAAUUGGUGAAUGAUUUUUUGUUUAUGAUGUUGAGAAACAUGCUUUCAGAAUGGCCAUUCUCUGCUCUGUCGCUUAGAUUUUGAUAGAUAUGUGUGUAUUUGAAUAUGGAUUGACCUUUCUUGUGAUGGAACUUUUUAUCUUUUUGUUUUUGGAGAAAAAUCCUUGUGUAAGUGGCUUAUAUGAAGAAUCCUCGGUAUACUUGAGGAUAUUAUUGUAUCUGUAGGAAUAUUUUAUUGUUGGUGGGUUCCGUAUGUUUGAGAUCUGCAUGUUAUUUUAAUUCUAUGUCAGGCAUACAUAUUUUGGUUUUGUCUGCAUAAUUAUGAACAUAGAAGUUGGAAUUAAAUUCCUGUUCUUCCUUGUAGGGAGUUUUGAUGAAUGUGGUGUGUGAAGAUAAAAGUGAUAGGACAUUCCAAGCCUCCUCUCCAAUGGGUCAUGACUGCCUGAAUAUCAUCAUGCCUACCCUUGUAAGGGAAAUUUUUGUGUUUUGGUUGAUAGGGACAUUUUAACAUGAAUAAUGAGCACCUUUAUGCUUUGGCAAUUUGCGAUAGUAAUUGCCUUUUCUCCUUCGUGUGUGUGUGAUAAUAUGUAGUGGCUUGCUUGUCUGGGUUAAAUGAGCCCCUAUAACAAAAUCAAGGAAAAUACCUUGGGUUUCUGCUGCGCAAGAAAGCAUACUACGUGCUGUUUUGGAAAUCAUUCUUGAUGAUUCACUGGCUUAUUAUGUGUUUAGUAUGAAUAACUAUGAGAAAUAUAGUAUGAUAAGUAUGGUCUGCAGGACCAUGUCAUAUGGGUUAUCACCACCCAAUCGGUGGGUUGGAUGGUGAUGAAUGAAAAAUGGGAAGUGAUAUUUGAAUCGAUGGCAUGUCUGGUGGUGCACCUGCUCUCCCUCCAUCAUCGUCCAACCUAUUAAUGGGAUGGUGAUGACGGUUGUGCCGUUACAUUAACGAAAUGGAUCAUACCAUACUUUCCAUCAACCUUGAAAAACUUCUGCACUCACGGAUCCUUCACCUGAAAAUAGUCAUCACUUCUUUAUUCUUUUAGAAAAACAAUUUGAAAUGACUGACAUCUAACCGUGGACUAUGCUGCGAAAGAUGAGGCUAAAGUUAUUUGUCAAACCCAGCAGCGAGGUUCAACUAUGGGCUUCGUUUUGUUUCCCCUGUCCCAAUGAUAGUUUGUACUCUUUUAUGUGCAGCUUGAGUUGCUAUUAUAGUUUCUUCAGAUAUGCCUAGGCUGAUAUUUCAUUGUUCAGUUUCUUAUUAUGUUUUCUCUUCAGAUGUUUUUAGGAAGUUUGUUCAUUGUCAGCAGAUUUCUAUGAUGGUUUUUUCUUUCUAUAUGCUUAGGAUGCCUGUUCAUUGUUUAAAUUCUCAGUAAUUUUCCGCCAAACAGGUGGUCUUCUUAACGUUUGCAAGUCAGUUUGUUCGUCAUUCAGCUGGGAAAGUUUUUGUGGUUCUUUCCAACUUCCUUGGGAAAUAUGUAUGUGCCUAAAUCUUUCUGUUUAAAUAUUUUGGCCAAUUGAAUUUGCUAUGCUUCAUUUUUAAUUUUGAAACCGUGAAAAUUUUGCAGGGAAACAAAUGGGAGAAAUUAAUAUAUUUUCUAUGGAGUAGCUUAGAAGCAGCAAUAUUUAGCAUUGAUUCUUCAUUUCCUCUAAUAAUUGGAGAUGACCAGUUCAAUCACAUCGCCACCAAAACCUCAGAGGUGGCAUUUGGGAACGUCCAUUCUGAUUGUCAUAAUAAAAGUUUUGCUUCUUUCACAACCUCAAGUUCUGCUUCUUUGUUUUUAUAAAUUCAAAUUUGAUAAAUAAAAUAUCCUGAGAUUCAAGAAAAUUCAAAUAACAAUUCUAAAAUUAUAUAUUAUUAAAAUAAACAAAAUUAAAUACUUUGAUGGGAAAAUGAUCCAUAUGGUCUAGAAAUAAAUAUCCACUAGGGCACUCCAUGUCCAAUUGCGCACUAUGAACCACACAUGCUUUCUCAAACCGACCCAGCGUUGCCCAUGACCCACAGUCCAUGUCGUGGAUCAUUAGUGAGUCACCAAAGUCUAGCCAAUGGGCAAGGGGUCGUAGUCCCAGUAUAUAGAUUCCAGGUCCCCCCUGGAGACAAAACCAAGGUCAUCUUGAUCUGAUGCGAUCCAUUGCUCGGUGGUGCACAGGGGGUAUCUCUCGCAUAUGCACACGCUUUAGGUAGUUCGUUUUCUCGAAAACGGCUAGCAAUGUGCAUGCCGUGUGAUGGUACAAAUGAUAAAGCUUUGGCCCUGUCUUUGAAAGCCUCCAUCAAACACAAGGGUCACACAGUCCCUCGGUUCGCUCUUCCGGGCAUACUCUAACCUCAUCAAGGGAUAAUCCAUCUAAUCCUCAUCUGUUUGUUUCUCUAUGCCUAGGUAAUAUGGGUUUUCCUUAACCAGACUGACCUAACACGUCAAGCACGGGCCAGUAUUAGCAAAUAACGUUUGUUUAGUAUGGUCCACAUGGGACCACACUCCUAUUGAGUUCAUGUUCCACUAUAUUUUCUUUUUACAAGCACUCGUAAGGCCUUUAAUGGCCACACGCACCCAAUAAUUUCUACAUAUGCGGGCUUGGCCGCAUAGAAACCGGAUCCUUUCUUUAUUUACUCAUGCUUGUAGUGAUGAUUGCUUCAUUGGGCAUGCAUGUGCUGAUUCUUGGAAUGAUGAUCAUACUUAUGGCCUUUAUAUGUAUUCAUGCAGUUACUAUGAUGUUUACAUAGAUACAGCUAAUGCACAUUGUGAAAUGGUUUCAACACGAAUGUGCAAAUAGAUUAUUGAUGAGAUGACUAUCUUCAUUCCAGUGCCAAAGUUUCCCAUGAAUUCUUAUGUGGUUAUAGACUGUUCAUGACAUGGUCAGUUGUCUCGUGUUGCAUGUCAGAGUUCUCUUGCAAGAUGGCUAAAAAUUGGCAUUAUGAAAUUAAAUUAAUAAACCAAAAAUAUUAGAUAGAAUUGGAAAAUUACAAAAGUACAAAAACAAGAAUCGGAUAACUGGAACUUUGUUUGAAAGAGUAGUACUUACUGAAACUAAUCAAAUGAAAACUUUUGGAGUUAGAUGUGUUGUUAUAGUGGGAAGCUGGUUCAUGAACUAAGUGCAGCAAAAAAAAAAAAGAUUCUGAAGUAUACCUGUGAAAUUUACGGCGAAGUCUCUCUCAAGUGAGCCACAAUAUUCAGAAGGGGUUCGCAGUUUGUGCUACCCGUUUAACCAGAUUUUGAUUUUCUGGAAUUGUGGUGUAACAAAUCCCUUGUUAUAUAUGAUUUGAUAUUUUCCCAAUUCUUUCUAUCUUGGUAAAAUCAAAUUUUCUCUUUCUUUCUCUUCUGCUCUUGCCUUUAAUAUAGUUCAUCCUCUGAGCAUUCAAAUGCUUUGUUCUGCUGUAUUUUUUUAAAUUAUUUAUUAAUUCUUGGUACAGUUGAGUUAACAUCCGUAUUAUAACCUGGUUAUGUUGCAGAUACGAUAUGAUCACCUCCUGCUUCUUGAUUACCUUAUCUCAAAAGAUAUAGGAGUUCUAUGUUUGCAAUACCUUCUAAGGUACAUUACAACUGUUAGAUAUUACAAUCGAUUGUCUAUAUCAGUCUGUAGGCUUUAUGAGUGAAAAUUGGUCCAUAUGUCUUGAGAUUGAUAAAGUUUCCAAACUUUAUUAGUCUAUGUAUUCUACAGUUUAUCAGUGAUGGAGACAUUGGAGCCUGAUAAUGUAGUCAAGUCUUGUUUUGCCUGGUCCUACCCUCUCUUUUUUACCAUCCAUUUCCAUUGAUGGUGAUGAUAGAAUGACGGCAGUCCAUUGGAUUAUAGUUUAUGUUUUUUCCUUUUUGAAUAUCUUCACCUCUGCAUAAUGUGUUCUCUCCCUGAUAUAGAAUUCUCUCUGGGGAACACUGAUAGGGAAUUGACAUUCUUUGUGUAAUUUCUUUAUGCUCUUCAAUAAAAUUCUGAUUACUAUAAGAAAUUAAUUUACUUUGCAGGGGCACAAUAAAAGGGAUAUAAUUUAUUGAUUAAGGAAUUUCUAAUUGCUGCUGUUUAUCCUUUUUAGAUGUUUGCGGCUAGUUUGUAACUCAUGGCCUAUAUUUAAAGGAUUUUCAAUGCCUAAUCAUGAGAUGAAUCGGUUAUGUUGCAAGAGAAGAACGGUCUCAGUGGAUGGACGUGAUUUUGUGGGGAAGGUACAGCCUCUGUCCUCUUCAGUUGAAGGAAUUAGUGCUACACAGCCACCACGAACAGGUCAUAAAAAGAGGAAAGGGAAGACUUCAGGAGAGUCGACUUUUGAAAAUGCGGAAGAAUGUUUGCUGUCUUUGAAGUAUGCUCUGGAGAAUCUUCCCAAAAAGAACUUGUUCCCUUAUAACCCAACUGCUUUAUUGAGAAGGUAUAAGCUUUAUGUUUUCUUUCUCAUGUAGUUACUGCUUUGUCUUACCUUUCUUCUCUCUACUGUUAGGCUUCAAAUUUUGAUUUUCUCAAGUGCUGUAGCGACUGUUUUAUUGAUUUAUGAGAAAUUCACGCAUAUAUCCCCCAUCAUAUCCAUUAUUAAAAACAUCUCCCCCAAUUUUCGUUUGUUACAUGCUUGUCCUUUUUUCCCUCUUUUUUUUUAAUUCCCAAUUUGCCGCCAUUUUAGAUCUUCAAGAUCUGAAGUCACAAAUUCAUUUUAUGAAUUCGGAUAUUGACGUCCUGAAGUCGGGGCCCCAUAUACCCCAUUGCACCGUAAUUGUUUUUUUUCUCCCUCCCUCUGUUUGCCCACCACUUUGGAUCUCAAAGAUCCGAAAUCACCGUGAGUCGAAAAUGGGCUGCUGACCUUAGGAUUCAAAUGAGAAGGCCCUUCCCUCGGGUCUAAUGCCCGUUUAUUUGGGUGAUUGCUCUCCAUAUGAGGGCAAGAUAGGAGGGGCACCCCUUCUUUCUUGAGGAAGUCAAUGGAAAGUUUGACCAAAUGAGAUCAGAUCGGGAUCAAUUGUUGACUUUGGAUCUUGAAGAUCCAAUGUAUAUUGGACAUGAUUUUGGAUCUUGAAUAUCUAAAGUCAUGAAUAUGUGACAAUGUCUUUGGAUCAUGAAAAUUCAAAGUGAUGAAUGUGGGGCAUGACUUUGAAUCCAAAGUCAUAGGUGACUUCGGAUCUUCAAGAUGAAGACCAAAGUCAAAAACUGGUCUAAUUACUUUAGGAUGUUGAUGAUUUGAAGUCAUGGCAAUUUGAAAAGGUAUAAAUUAUAAAAGACAAAAAUUGGGGGGAUUUUUUCAAUAAUGGAAAUUGUGGGGGAUAUUAGCAUAAAUUUCUCUUUUUUUUUUUAUUUCUUUAUUCGUUUGAUAGCAUGGGAUUUUAGUCCUUGAGGAAAUUAGAGGGAUAUGAGAAGAAAACCCCGAUCUGAACUUUGAUAUCUGAACUUUGAUGUAAGAUCCUUGUGGAACCACUCUCAGAAGGGAUUGGGCCAUUGGGGCUUAUUAAGGAACAAUUAACUAGGGUGAGGGAGAUUAAUUCUUGUAACCACCAAGGACACAUGACUCCUAGGUGGAAGCCACCGCUUUCUUGAUGGGCCCUUGUGUUCAAUAAAAUCGAACCAUGGAUGGUGAUGGCAAGUAGGACCAACACAGAGGACAUGACUCCAUUGUUGGGUCCUCAAACUCUCCAUCCCCCUUCCUCAUUCAAAUGGAUGGCUGUGAUGCCUCAGCUCGCCACAUGAUGGAUGUUUCCAUCAUCUAUUAAAUUGAUACUUCACCAUUUACUCCUCUUUAGUUUGAAUGCUUGCAUCCCUUACAGAUUGUAUGUAUUUUUAACCAUUCCUCUUUAUGAUAUGCAGUUUCACGAGAUUUCAGAAAUUCUGCAGUAACAAAGAGAGGGAAAGCAUCGAUUACAAAACCUAAAUGGAAAAGGACUUGGGAAAUUUCCAGCCUCAAGAAGCAAACUUUUGCCAUGUUACGUUGGGAAUGCGAGAAAUGCAGAGUCAGUUGUCAAUUUACCGACGUUUUAGAUCAAACUUAACUCACUGGGACUGGAUUGUGAACAGGGCACAGUAAAUCUCCACCAUAAUCUUUCGCAACAAUUGCUUGAUUCUGUACAUAGAAAAACAUGAGAUGUGAAGUCCCCUCUUUCUUGGUCUAGAGGUAAUUAUUUCCUUUGCGAAAAUAUGUUCCGACCGAGAACUUUAAGGAACACUAUGGCCAUAGGGCCCCAUUUGCAUAAGAAUAUUUGCAAAGAGGACCCAUCAAACAUGCCAUUAUUGUCAAUUUGUACAUUUUACUCUCCCAUCAUCCCCAUUCAAUCGAUUGAUGGGACCGUGAUGACCCUAUUACCAUACUGUAACGUCUAACGAGUCAUUAAUGGUAUAUGGACCUUUUUUUUUUUUUUACUGCAUUUUAUUGUAUUGUUUUUUAUGAUUAAUUUUUGUCUGUUUCAAGAGCGAGAAGCAAAUUAUAGUGUUCUUAUACAAAUUUGGAGUCAGAUAAAGAGGACGAUGAAUGCCAGUGUUCCAAAACUCGGAAACUUGCCUUGAAUCGCUAAUGGAUGCUAUUUCCUAUUUUUCUUGGUCAUCUAGAUUCAAUCAGUAUCACUCAUUUUCAAGCUGAUUUGGGUUCGAUUUCAUACCAUGAUUCUUUUACUGAAGGGCAAAUACGUAUGGAGCACGUAUAACUAUGCUCUUUGCGGGGGCAUGCUGUGCAGAAGCACCUUUAUUCCAAAGAUCCAUUUGGAAGAAAUAUUCGGUCUAAAAUUUCGGGAACCAUUUAAGAAUCACUGGAUAAUUAUUUUAAAAGAAAAAAGUUUGAAUUUUGAGUUUGUUUUUGACUGUUGGAUCUUGUCUUUCAAAAAUUGGACGGUCUCUAUUCAAUUGUGAAACAUUAUUUUCUUCUGGUGCACAGAGUUCAAUUGGGAUUUUUCAUUUUUAGUAAGGUUAGUGUGCUGGUUGAAGAGGUUGCAUCUUCAAAAUUUGGAAUCCUAAAAUUACUCAUAUAUUGGGUUUUGUUGGUUGGAUUCCUAAAAUUACUUUUAUAUUGGGUUUUAUACUCUUAUAUUGGGUUUUAUUGGGGGGAGUGAAUAGACACUUACUUUUGCAAGACUAUAAAAUCUUUUAGCUAUAUAUAGAGUACAGUGAGAGUAGUUUACCUUACAAGGAGACCACAAUUCCUCUUCUACUUCUUAGAUGUCAAAUUAAAUAGAAUUGUCAAAUUGGAUAGAAUUGUGCUGGUUAGAAAGUCCGGAAUUUUUUUUUUUGAACUUUGAGGCUUUUCAAUGACACUUUCACAACCACUUAAUUUGAAAUUCAAAAAGAUAAAAGUGAUUGUGAUAUUUUUGCACAAAAAGUAAAUGAUCAUCUUGUAUAUUUUUUCAUAUAUAUAUAAAUAUAUAUAAUGUGUAUAUAAAGUUGAUAACCCUAAAUAACAAAAAAAAACUAUGAUGCAUCUCAAAAACUCACUAGAAGAAGAGAUUUUUGUCUAUCCCUGGCUUGGAGUCCAGGUGCAAUGAACCUAAGAGAGAGAAAAUUAGCUGCUCCCAAAUUUUCACCUUGCGGUUCAUUGAAUUAAUAAUUGGGCCAGGUAGUUGAAGGAUUAUGGUUAGUGAUUUUGUCUAUUCGUGGCUUGGGAGUCCAGGUGCAAUGUACCCAAACCAUGGGACUUUUCCAAUUAGAAAUUUAGUCCAUUUAAUGUUUUGUUUUUGCUUAUAAUAUCUGUUAUUAGAGAUUAAGUCGGCUUAUAGUCUCUGUCAUUAGAAAAAUUUAAUUUUUCGUAAGUCUCUGUCACUCCUAUGGGUACACGAUAAACAAGAGAGACGUAUGCUAAUGGAGCUCUGCCAUCCCUUAAAAAGUUAAAACACCUCCUCAACAUGCAGGAAACCCACAUGCACCUCCAGGGCCUUCAUCCUCAAGAGCUUUUAAAGUGAGAGAAAGGUCUCCGGGUAAGAGAAAAUCAAGAGAUUUUGCAGUGAGAGAGUGAGAAACCUCAGAAUUCAUUAUGGGUCUGGAAUCGAAACCUUUUGACAUGGACCCAGCCUUCAUCCAAGCCCCUGAGCACAGGCCCUCAGCCAUCUCUCACCAAUUUGCAGAAGGUGUCCCCAUAAUUGACCUCUCUCCUCUCUUGUCGCCCGAUUCCAAGAAAUCGAACCUUCUCUCUAUAGAAUUUAUAGAUCCUGCGACUCUCUCAAGUUUGGUGGAUAAAAUCAAACAUGGGUGCAAAGACUGGGGUUUCUUCCAAGUCAUAAACCAUGGGGUUCCAAUAGAGCUUAGAAGAGCUGUAGAGGAAGUGUCUAUCAAAUUUUUUGGAUUUCCAUUGCCGGAGAAGCGAAAAGUUCGGCGAGAUGAGGAGAAUGCAUUGGGGUAUUAUGAUGAGGAGAAUACAAAGAAUGUGAGAGAUUGGAAAGAGGUCUUUGAUUUCUCGGUGAGGAGCCCCAUUGUAAUUCCAGAGCUUGAGGGCGACAGCAUAAAAAGUGUCACCACCUUGGCAAACCAGUGGCCGGAGAAUCUGCCAGAAAUGAGGCAUGGAGUGUUUGAAUUUUGCUCUUGUGUUAUAGAUUAUUAGGCGUACUUUGACUGGAAUUUUCCCAAAAUGACAAAAUUUUGGUUAGAAAUUGUCUCUAGUUUUGGAAAACUAUGGUUAAUCUUGAAUUUCACUAUCUUUAGCUAAGAUUUGCUCAAAAAACUAGCAAAAUGACCAUUUCUAGUCUGUCCUUCACCAGUGUACAGAAAAUAGACUCGGCCAAGGUGCUAGGGCCUUGGCCGAGUCAUCCCGAGUCUAGUGCAGGACAGGGCCUUUUGGCCCAAAAAAAUAUAAAAAAAAUAAAAAAUAAUUAAACAUAUAGUAAAAAAAAAUUGAAACCUAAAAGACGAUUAAAAAUGUAGAGAAAAAAUGAUUAACUGAUCUACAAAUUGGGAUAUUAAAAAAAAAUAAAAAAUAAUAUAAAAGUUGUGAUUAUGGGAAAAGAAACACUCACCAAUCUUUACCAAAUUCAUCCUAUUCAUAUACAAAAAGAUUAUAAAACAAUCCAAUAUUUUUUCAUUUUUUAUUUGUUUUUAGAUUUGUUUUUUGAAUUUUUUUAUAUACGUGAGUUGUGCAACCAACUUAGGGAAACUCGUCUUGUCCCACUGACUUAACCCCCCCUCCCCCUGCUCUUAACAAACAGAGAAAUCUUGCCCAAGAAUAAUUUAGACACUAGUUUAAGUGGUUAUACUUUUGGCAUGUAGGUUGAAUCUUUACAGUCUGUUAAGAAACUCCCUUUUUUUUUCCUCUGAAGGUUGUUAUGGAACUCAUUUUUGUAGAUACAUUCAAUUUGGUACACCACUUUGACAAGAUCAAUGAAAUGCGAAAAAUAAAUUAAGAAAAAAAACAAAAUUUGCAAAAAAUCCUUAAGAAUAGUUUGCCCUCUCUCUUUAUUUAUUUUUAGAUGUUUAUAGUUUUAUGGAGUUGGAUUAGAAAAUUAAGAGAGUAACCGUUUUUAAUCUCUAACCCUAUCACUUGAUAGGAUAGGGGUCCAAUGAUCUCAACAUACAUCCUGCAUUAAGAUUGUAGGCAUAAAUCAUACAUGACUAUUCUCCUAUAAGGAAUACAUUUUGCUUAAAGAUCAUUCUCUUACACAAUUGUUCUUUAGUGAAUGACCUAUCUUGUCAUAAAUUUGCCUGAGUUUGGAUCAUCUUCAUCAUUUGUGCUUGGGAACCAACAUUGAGAUUGAUGUCCACAAUUUAUGUAGAAUCAAGUCUCAAAGGAUCAUUGCCCUAUUAUUUAAAGAGUGAGAUUUGUAGAACGCCGCAACCUUAAACAAUCAAAGUACUUGAACAAACAAAGUAAGGUGCACUUUCAAACUUUGUUAUAAGAUACAAUUUUGGUGUCAAAAAUUUUUAGGAUGGCCCGAGAAUUUAUUUUUAUCUCUAAUUAUGAAAGUUUAAACUUCAAAAAUGGUUCAAACCAAACAAAUCUAUAAAUGUAUGAAAAUCACCUCUAUUAAUUCUACUAUGGUGUCAACCUUAUACAAACUUUUUCCUGAUUUAAAAAGAACACAUUUUCAGGCUCACAAAAUCUAGUGUACAAAUAAACCUCUAACUUGUGUGUUGAAGGAGCGUAUGCAAAGCAUAUGCACAGGCCACUCAGAAGCUUGCAGUACGAUUGCUAGAGCUCAUUUCAUUGAGCUUAGGAUUGCCAGUCUCACGCUUGAAUGAUUUUUUCAAGGACCAGACAAGUUUUAUAAGGUUGAAUCACUACCCUCCAUGCCCAUCUCCAAAUGAGGCACUAGGAGUGGGAAGACAUAAAGAUUCUGGAGCUCUAACUGUGCUCGCACAGGACGACGUUGGUGGUCUCGAGGUGAAGCGCAAGAAUGGUGAGUGGGUCGCUGUGAAGCCGGUGCCAAAUUCUUAUAUAAUCAAUAUAGGGGAUAUAAUUCAGGUAUGUGAAAAGAUAAAGAACACUAGUUCAUUGAUUGCUUUUCUCUAACUUUGGGUGAACAUUUUCUUGAAAUUCAAGCUCAGAAUUGUGAGAAAGCAUAUAGGAUUGAUUGUUUUCGUUUAUCAUGUUUUACUUCAUGGUGCAUAUGCGUUAAGCAGCACUGAUGUGAAUAAUGGAUAAGUAAAGGUGUGUCACUCCUUAGGGCUGAGAAUUUACCCAGUUCAGAUCCUAAACCUGAAUUUUGGAUCCUAUUCAGAUCUGCAUAUGGAUCCAAGAUUUGGAUCUGAAAUUCGGAUUUGGAUCUAAAAUUUGGAUCCAAAUGACUAUUCGGAUCAAAUAUGGGUAAAUGUGAAUCAAAUAUGGUCAUUAAAAUAGUAUAUAUUAAUCUUAUAGUUAUAUAUUAAUUAAUUUAUAUAUAGUAUUUUUAACUUUCAAAGACCUUAUCCCCAUUAUGGAUCGGAUUGUGGAUUUGGAUCCUAUAGAUAGUUUUUCGAUCCUGAUCUUGAUUUGGAUCUGAUCAAAUUCAAAUCUUAUGUAUACUUUUUUGAUCUAGAUCUGGAUCUGGGUUGCCCUAGACCCGAUCCGAAAAAUUCCUACCCGAUCAUUCCUCAGCUCGAAGUUCCAAUUACUAUCAUAAUAUACUUUCCCUUUUUUUCCUUGUGGUAGCAACUGGUUCUAGCCACAACCUCAAAGUUGCAGCAACAAGCAUCUUCGAGUUGAGCUAUGGGAUCAAAACCUUUGCAUUUAUAAUUUGAUGCAUUAACUACGAUGGAAACAUAAAAAUGUAUUUGUUUCCUUGUAACUCUCCAUUCUUGAAAUUUAAUAUGAUUCCCAUUGAUGAAAAUUUAUUCUAACAAAUAAAGAAGGUAUUCAAGAAAUAUCUAUUGGUCACAUAAGAAAUUAAUCAAGCUAAACCUAGAUAAAACUGAAUUUUCAUUAUUUGUUCUCAUCCAUUAUUUGCCUUUAACAUUUUGUAGGUGUGGAGCAAUGAUGAGUACGAGAGUGCGGAGCACAGAGUGGUAGUGAACUCCAAGGGGGAGAGGUUUUCAAUGCCCUUCUUUUACAAUCCCUCUGCUUAUGAGUUCAUAGAGCCACUUGAAGAAAAGAUGUCUGAGAAAAAUCCCCCAAACUAUUUACCAUACAAUUGGGGUCACUUUCAUAUUAGCAGAAAACUUAGCAAUUUCAAGAAGAGGAACACUGAAAACCUUCAGAUACAGCACUUCAGAGCAUCCAAGCUGAAUGCUUAGGGGGUUUGAAACUUUAGGAAGUAAUCAAAUAUGUAAUGAAAUAAUAGGCUUGUAAAGAGUCUUUGAAGUAGUCAUACAAUUUAAUAUAUGACUUAUACUGUGAAAUGUAAGCUUGGAACACUAUGAUUUUAUUCUAUGUAGAUAUAGUGCCAUGCUUGGGCUAUCUAGACAUGUUUGCUUUUGUUGGUCUACUUUUUUGUAGGUCUAAAGUUUUAUAUUUAAUUUCCAACCUUUUAAAAGGAACAAUUAAGGUUGUUUAUUAGGAACACUGAAUAGUGCUUGUUUGUAAUCUUGAACAAGUAGAGGUAAUUAUUGACACUCAGCCCUUGAAAUGCUCCUGAUUGUCUAGUUCUCCCAACUUGAAUAGGUAGUUCUACAAACUUUUUAAGAUUUUUUUAAGGAGGUAUCUGCGUGAUAUGAAAAUAAAAAGCAACUCUUUUUAUGUUAAUUUUAAUAAUUUAAUCUUUUGAAUGAUUUUGUAAGGUGUUUUAACCCUUUAAAUGAUAUUUUUUCCUUAUAUGAUAUUUUCACUUAAAAAAAGAGGCGACCUGAAGAUCCUUUUUGCCGAUAUUUUGGAUCAAUCUUAUUGAAUUCAAAUACUGAAUCACAUUUUAGUGCCAAAAAAGUACAUUUCGAAGUUCCAAACACUAGAUCAUAUUUUGAAAUGGCUCCUUUUUGAGCCAUUUCAGUUUGGAGGAAUUGUAAAAGGAAUAUUUAAUUAAAACGAUUAAAAUAUUUUCUUUACAAAUUUUUGAAUUGGUUUAGAAUCAUAGUACAAUUUAAAUAAGUUUUGAAUCAAUUCGAACCGGUCAAUCCUAGUUGGGAAUUUUAUUAGAAAUCCAGUUUGAAUCGAAAUGACGAAUAUUCGUCUUUAAAUACUAUUCCAUAGUCCAUACCAUGUGGGAUGUCAUAUCCAUACCCAGGUUUGAUUCUCUUUUUAUAUAUAUAUAUAUAUAUAUAUUUGCUUUAAUGUUUUUAAUUGUUUUUUUUAGACCAGCCUAACUCGGUUUAGCGCUAAUAGGGCUAGGCCAAGGCUAGCCCGACCCAGACCUGGGGCUUUACCGACCCUACCUUUCAUAGCCAUGUACGUGCACCUAAGAUACUCAUGCGAAUCACGAGGUAGAUACACUCCCUUGGAUGAAAAAGCUACUCAAGCGUCGUCUUUGUUUAUUGGAUGUGAUUUCCAUAAGGCUGCAGUUUUAUUUGUUGAAAUAGAAUUACAACCUUCCGUUAGUUUCAUCUAUUUUGAUGGACAGGGUUUGCUCACUGCCCAGUAAAGAAAGAACAAUUGCUUCGUGUGGGCUGGACUGGAUUUGUACAACACGCAGCCCUGAGGCAGCUUCCAUUUUAAUGAUGGAUGCAAAUAGGUGGUCUAUUUAAAAAUAAUUGUAAUUAACGGUUUAAAUAUUUUAAUAAUAUAAUUAUUAAUUUUAAUUUUUAAAAAUUAUUUAUUUUUUCAUAUUAUGAUCUCCAUGUUAAAAAUUAUACAUUCUCUAAAAAUUAAAAUCAAACUAUAUUUAAAAAUAUAUUUAUUGGCAAGCCCGAGUUUAUACAAAUGCGGGCUUGGCCGCAUGCUAACCGUGUCCUUCAUACAAAUUAAGGGAAAGACUGGGACCUUUUAGUGUAGGACCGUAAAGACAUGCAUUGUGUGUGUGCGCCGGUGUUGGGCAUUCCAUUCCAUUGUGAGUUCAUAUGCUACAAUCCAGUGAACCAUGGAGAACCAUGUUAUUGCUUUGGUUAUCACCAUUAAUUGAACCAUGGAUGGGGAUGUCCCGUGGAACCAACAUGGACGAGGACGAGACCUCAUUGUUGGGUCCUCACACUCCCCAUAACUGUUCCUCAUUCAAAUGGAUGAUUGUGAUUCCUCAGUUGGUCACGCGUUUUCAUCAUGGAUUUGAUUGAUACUUUGUCAUUUACACAUUUCUAUUGGAUUGAGUGCAUUGAUCCUUUCUUAAAGUUUCUAUAUUUGUACAGUAAUAUAAGGAAAAUUGUUUUAUACGGGCUGGACCUCAUUUCUACAUAUGUAGGCCCCGAAAUGUAAAGUAAAGAUGGAUACAAAUAUGUUGUCCAUCUAAAACCAAUUGAAACUAACGGUACAAAAUUUUUUUUAAUAGAAUUAUUAGUUUUAGUUUUUAAAAUUUAUUUAAUUUUUCAUAUUCAUGAUCUUCAUAUUAGAGAAUACAUAUCCUUUAUAAUUAAGUCAAAAAAUCCAUCUAAAAAAUAGAUUUAUUAAGAGGCUUGCAUUUUUACAUGUGCGGGCUUGGCCUGCAUGCUAACCGCAUCCGUAAUAUAAUGAAAUAAUAUUAAAAAAAUCAUGUUAAGAUUGUGUGUUUGAUCCCAAUUUUUAAACAUACAUUCUUUUCAUUCCAAUGAACCAUCAUGAAUCAUCACGACAAAGAAAAUUUUGAAAACACAACUUAGAAAUUACUUUUUGCCUAAGUAACAUAGGCCAUCCAAUUUGGUAAAGUGCUCAGAUUUAGGCUUUAGAAGGAUUUUUUCUAUUUUUAAAUUUCUUAGAUGGCUUUAUUAUGACUAGAUAAAUAAUGCUACGAAAUAAUUUUCUUUUUAGUUUGUUAAGGUCUAGAUCUUGAAUUUCACUAAAUGGAUGCUCAGAAUGCACAAUACAUGUUCUCUAACAAUACGAUAGGUACUAACUCCGGGGGACUGGAUAUCAAUGGGUAGAAUUAAUUUCCACCGUUCAUCUUUUAGGACAAGUGAUGGAUCCUACACAUACGAAAAAAUGAGAUACAUGUCUCUUCUUGGUCUUGAGGUAUUAUUCCUUUCCCGAAAUUGCGCUGUAACCAGGACUUCAACAGUAUCGCCAUAGGCAUCGGCGGCCAUCUGUCGUAUCAACGGUGGCAAAGUGGGACCGAUCAAGCGUAUGCUAUUCUUCUCAAGAAAAAUUAUUCGAUAGGGCUGUGGCCCUAUUAAAAUAAAUAAAGCCUUACCUCAUAACUCCUCAAAAAUUACAAUUCAAAUAUUGAAAAAUCUUUAAAAUUGAUCAUUUUGGCUUGGUUUGGACGUUAUAGUUGUAAAAAAAAAAAAAGAUUUUAAACUCUAAAUAUGGUGUAUAUUGUAACAAAUUAUUUAGACCGUCCAUUUCGUCCUAAAAAUAAAUGUUCGCAGAUCCGCAAGAUCCAUAUUAUUUUUUGAGUUUCAAAUUUUUAUUGUUGAUGUUGAAAAUUAGUUUUAGAGCCUCAUAAAAAUUUGUGUUGCCGAAAGUUCUUUUGGGAUGAGGAGUUAAAAUAUAGUUUUAUUUUGUUUUCAUAAUGCCUGGGCCUUAAUAAAAACUUCAUCCUUAUUUCAAUUGUGUAUUUUGCCGUCACCUCAUCGCUAUCCCAUCCAUUGAUGGGACAACGAUAACCCAAUUCACAUACUGUUACGAGUCAUUAAUGGUAUUUUGUUUAUUUCGGACUCAUUGGCGUGGGCUUGAGUGAUUAGCCGGUAAUGUUAAACAGCGUUAUAUUUUAAGUUUGAUUCCUACAACUGAAUUACCCUUAAAAAAAGAAAAGAAAGAAGAGUUGUUCAUUUGUUUUUUUUUCCGUAAUUGCGUUGUAUUGUAUGGUUUUUGAUGAUUAUUUUGUUUAUUUCGAGAGCGAAGCAAAAUAUGAACAAUUGUGUCAUAUGGGUUGGACCGCAUUUGUAAAAUAUGCUGGCUAAAGAUAUAAAGCAUCCAUCAUAAAGAUAAAUGCAAAUAGGCAGUUCACCAAAAAAUAAUUGUAAUGAAUAGUCUAAAUAUUUUUUCAAUAUAAUUAUUAUUUUUAAUUUUUUAAAUUUAUUUAUUUAUUUAUAUCUAUAAUCUCCAUGUUAAAGAUGGUAUAUUCUUUAAAAAUUAAUAGCAGAUUAUAUUUCAAAAAUAUAUUUAUUAGCAAACCUGCAUUUCUACGUAUGCCAGCUUUGGCCGCAUGCUAGCCGCUUCAUCAAAAAUAUGGUUUUUCGAAUUUGGACUCAAAAAAAAGAGCGCGCGGAAGGCUAGCGUUGUAAAAACCGGAAUCUUGUCUUGAAUCACUAGUGUUAAACUUGUCUGACUCGUAUGAUUCCCAAGUUAAAAAGAUCAGAAGAAUUUUGGGGUUUUUAAAAUCGCAAUUAAUCACCUAUCCAUCUGAAUCGGGCGAGUUUUGGUUUGGAUCUGUAAUUUUCCAAACACUAGGCAUGCUAUUACCGAUCCUUUUCGGGCAACCGAGAUCCAGUAAACAUGACUUGUUUUCAAGCAGAUUCGGGUUCUUUCGGUACCCGGAUUCUGUUAUUAACGGGUCAAAUGCAUACACUGGGAUUUACAAAGAGGCCAUCUAUUUUUGGAAAAUGGUCAACCCUAUCAAAAUAAAUAAAACCCUACCUCAUAAUUCAUCGAAAAUUUCAAGGUGCUGAAAAAUCUUUAAAUCAAUCGUCUCAGCUUAAACAUUAUGGUUGUGAAAAGAAAUAGGAUUUCAGAUUUUAAAAUAGUGUAUAUUGCAACAAAUCAUCUAGACCAUAUAUUUCCCGUUGAAAUAAAUGUUAAUAGAUCUGCAAGAUUUGUACCAUUUUUUCAGUUUCAAAUUUUAUUAUCGGUGUUGAAAAUUGAUUUUAGAACCAUCAUAAAAUUUCCAAUGCUCAAAGUGCUUUUCGGAUGAGAAUAUCAAGUAAGACUUUAUUUUGUUAUUAUGAAGCUUACAAAAAUUUCAUCAUUUAUUUUUUAUACAUGAAAAUCACAAUCAUUCCUACUCGUUAGAUAUUAAAUUGGAUGGUUUGAGGUGAGUAGUGAGUUUCGAGAAUUUUUUUUUUGAAUUUUGUGUUUAUUCAAUGAAACUGUUACAACUACUCAUUUUAAAAUUCUAAAGGAUCUAUAGGCAAUCCCUUGUAUAUUUUAUAUACGUUGAAAGAGAGAUGUCCAAUGAAUCAAUAAUUGGGCCAAAUAAUUAAAGGAUUAUCGUUAGUGAUUUUAUAUACGUUAAAACAGAGAUGUCCAAUGAAUGAAUAAUUGGGCCAAGUAAUUGAAGGACUAUCUUUAGUGAUUCUGUCUAUUCAUGGUUUGAAGUCCAGGUGCAAUGAAUCUAAACCUUGGGACAGUUUCAACUAGAAAUUUAGUCGAUUUUUAAUGUUUUAUUUUUUCCUACAGUCUAUGUCAUUAGAAAGUAGGUCGAUUUAAUGUGUUUGUUUGUUUAUAGCAAUAUUAUCAAAUUCAUUUCGUUUUCAGAUUUUAAGCAUAAAUUGAAGCGAAGAGAAGUAUGGUACUGCUGCUUCAGUCAGAUUCGAGCCGCUUCAGCAUGCUGCAGUCAUCUUUGGGUAUGUUUCAGCCGAAGCUUCAGGAUGUUUCUGUCAGAAAAACAAAAAUCUAUAUAAUAGUAUUUUUUUAAAAAAUUAUUUUUUUAAAUUUUUCUAUUAAUUUUAUAUAUAUAAAUAUUUAAAUUUUUUUAUAUUAAUUUUUUAAAAAAAAUACAAAAUCUUCCCUUAAAUAUGAGGUAGUACCAAAUUGCUUCAUUUUUAUCACCCAAAAAAACUCCUCCUAAACUAAAACCACAACAUUGGUUUAUAGUUUUUGUCGCUCCUCCUAGCCAUGCACGAUAAAAAGAGAGACGUAUGCUAAUGGAGCUUUGCUAUCUCUUAAAAAGUUAAAAACACCUCCACCUCAACAUGUAGGAAACCCACUUGCACCUCCAGGGCCUUCUUCCCAAGAGCUUUUACAGUGAGAAAGGUCUCCAGCUAAGAGAAAAUCAAGAGAUUUUACAGUGAGAGAGUGAGAAACCUCAGAAUUCAUCAUGGGUCUGGAAUCAAAACCUUUUGACAUGGACCCAGCCUUCAUCCAAGCCCCUGAGCACAGGCCCUCAGCCAUCUCUCACCAAUUUGCAGAAGGUGUCACCAUAAUCGACCUCUCUCCUCUCUUGUCGCCCGAUUCCAAGAAAUCGAACCUUCUCUCUCCAGAAUCUAUAGAUCCUGCGACUCUUUCAAGUUUGGUGGAUAAAAUCAAGCAUGGGUGCAAAGACUGGGGUUUCUUCGAAGUCAUAAACCAUGGGGUUCCAAUGGAGCUUAGAAGAGCUGUAGAGGAAGUGUCUAUCAAAUUUUUUGGAUUUCCAUUGCCGGAGAAACGAAAAGUUUGGCGAGAUGAGGAGAAUGCAAUGGGGUAUUAUGAUGAGGAGAAUACAAAGAAUGUGAGAGAUUGGAAAGAGGUCUUUGAUUUCUCGGUCAGGAGCCCCAUUGUAAUUCCAGAGCUCGAGGGCGAGAGCAUAAAAAGGGUCACCACCAUCGCGAACCAGUGGCCAGAGAAUCCACCAGAAAUGAGGCAUGGAAUCUUGGAAUUUUGCUCUGAUUUCAUUAUUUGGCCUAAUUUGACUGGAAUUUUUUCAAAAUUUUGGCUAGAAGUUCUCUAUAGUUUUGGAAAGCUCUGGUUAUUCUAGGAAUUUAGAAAUUCUCUAUAGUAUUGGAAAGUUCUGGUUAUUCUAGGAAUUUCAUUAUCUUUAGUUAAGAUUUGCUCAAAAAAUUAGAAAUUUACUUAUGCUUAUGGCCUUAUAAGUUUUCUAGAAUUUUAGGGCUUCAGCUACAAAAUUCAUGAAGAAUAGUGGAUCUUCACUUACCAUGAAAUGAAGUUUGAUUGAAGAUUAAUCAAGGCUUCUUUUUUAUUUUUUUAUUUUUUUUUUCUUAUUAAAGUUUAAGGAUUUAUUUUUGGAAUUUUUUAUUGUUAUUUAUUACAAUUUUAACUUUUAUUUGGGUUUUAGGAUUUAUUUAUUUAGUUUUUAUAUUUUUAGGAUUUUAGGAGAUGUUUUGAAAAAUGGUUAAAAUGUUUAUGGAAUUAUUUGUUUUAGUUUUGAUCACUUUUUUUUAAUUAUAAUGUAAUAAAAAGAUCUGGGUGUCUUAGACUUUUGCACAUGAUCAGUCUAAACAGGCUGUGAAUAGUAACAACAAGCCUUCUUUAGGGUUUUGGAGUCACUUUGUUUUUACAAGAAAAGCCAAAUCCUCUUCAAUUUGUGAUAUUUUGAUAGAUUUAUUGAUUUCCUUUUUUUUUUUUUUCCCUCUUUUAUCCAUUUUUUGCAUCACUGGUUUAGCCAUGGCUUUCAUUUUUGUCCGGAUACAUUCAAUUUGGUACACCACCUUCACCUGCCGGUAGUAGUUAGAAGAAGGAUAAAUUACGUAAGGACCAGUGUUCGCAAAAUCGAAUCGGAAUGGUUANNNNNNNNNNNNNNNNNNNNNNNNNNNNNNNNNNNNNNNNNNNNNNNNNNNNNNNNNNNNNNNNNNNNNNNNNNNNNNNNNNNNNNNNNNNNNNNNNNNNNNNNNNNNNNNNNNNNNNNNNNNNNNNNNNNNNNNNNNNNNNNNNNNNNNNNNNNNNNNNNNNNNNNNNNNNNNNNNNNNNNNNNNNNNNNNNNNNNNNNNNNNNNNNNNNNNNNNNNNNNNNNNNNNNNNNNNNNNNNNNNNNNNNNNNNNNNNNNNNNNNNNNNNNNNNNNNNNNNNNNNNNNNNNNNNNNNNNNNNNNNNNNNNNNNNNNNNNNNNNNNNNNNNNNNNNNNNNNNNNNNNNNNNNNNNNNNNNNNNNNNNNNNNNNNNNNNNNNNNNNNNNNNNNNNNNNNNNNNNNNNNNNNNNNNNNNNNNNNNNNNNNNNNNNNNNNNNNNNNNNNNNNNNNNNNNNNNNNNNNNNNNNNNNNNNNNNNNNNNNNNNNNNNNNNNNNNNNNNNNNNNNNNNNNNNNNNNNNNNNNNNNNNNNNNNNNNNNNNNNNNNNNNNNNNNNNNNNNNNNNNNNNNNNNNNNNNNNNNNNNNNNNNNNNNNNNNNNNNNNNNNNNNNNNNNNNNNNNNNNNNNNNNNNNNNNNNNNNNNNNNNNNNNNNNNNNNNNNNNNNNNNNNNNNNNNNNNNNNNNNNNNNNNNNNNNNNNNNNNNNNNNNNNNNNNNNNNNNNNNNNNNNNNNNNNNNNNNNNNNNNNNNNNNNNNNNNNNNNNNNNNNNNNNNNNNNNNNNNNNNNNNNNNNNNNNNNNNNNNNAAUUGAAAAUUAAUGAAGAAAAUAGAUUUUAAUGCAUUUUAUAUUUUUCAAGGGCCAUUUUUUAAAUUUUUUUAAAAAGAUGAGAAAAUAUAAAAUUAAGUAUUAAUGACCAAAACAGUUUUUAAUCUUUACCAUAAUGUAAAGAAUAUUUAAAAAUACAUUACAAAUCAAAAGUCUUUAUUUUUCAGAAAUUAUAUACAUUUUUUUGAAUUUUUUUUAAAAAAUAUUGGUCGAUCACCCUAACCGCCUAAAACUAAAACCGGCCAGUAAUCGGUUCCGAUCUAACCGGAUGGUUAGUGGUUAGAUUGAACGAUUUUGCGAACAAUGGUAAGGACAACCUUUCAAUACCUUUAUUAUAGUAGGGGUCAAAUUUUUGUGAAAAUUAUACCCACCUUGCCUCCCGUUUUCUUUUUCUUCCCCCACCCCCUUAGAAUUGCCCACUUGUUCAAUAUUCGGCUAUUUCUCCUAGUCAUGCUAUUCAGUGUUGCUAAUGAAAUGACAACUCAACUGCAUUAUAAAAACCGGACUUACUAUAAGUGAUUAUUUUUAUUAGCUAAUCAAUAUAAUGGAAUUUAUGUAAUGGAUAUAAGUUUAUUUACUUUGUAUUGUUAUUUGUUUGAAUGUUUUUUUAAUAGAUUUUCCUGUAGCUUUUAUUUAAUAUGUUACUUUUUUUUUUUCUUUCUAUUUUUCUAUUUCUAAAUUUCUAUUCCAUUUCUCAAUUUUUUUAAUUUAUUUCGUAUUUUAUUUAUUGUUGUUGGUAUUUGAAUUUUUUAAUAGAUUUUCCUUUAUAUCUUAUUUAAUAUUUUACUUUUUUAUUUCUAUUUUUCUAUUUCUAAAUUUCUAUUCUAUUUCUCUAUUUUAGAUUUCUAUUCUACCAUUCCAUCAUUAUAUAUAUUUUCAUAUUCUAAUUCUAAAAUUAGAAAAAUAAAUUUGAAUUAAUUAGAAUUUAAAAUAUAUUUAAAAUUUCAAAAAAAAAUAAAAAAAAUGAUAGAAUAGAAUUUCUUAUCCUAAUAUAUAUUCUAACAAUUAAAGAUAUCUAUCUAGUAGUUCAUGCAGAAUAGAAAAGAUAUUCUAUUAUGCUAAAUUCUAUUUCAAGAAAUUUUAUUGCAAAAUAGUAAGAGUUUAAAUAAUAAUAAUUAUUUAAAAGAAGUUGAUUACGGUAUUAGCAAUACCAUUACCCGACAAGCCCUGACUAGGAGAAAUGGCUGUAAACUUGCAGGAUCUCCUACGUAUCCAGUGUUAGAAAUACUGGACACAUGGGCCAAAAAAAGAAAAGCAAAAAAAAGAAAAGAAAAGAAGGAGGUCCGAUGAGGAUGGUCUCCACAUAAUCCAUACAAAAAUUUGACCCAUAUUGUAAUGAAGGCGUUGAAAGGUGUCUGUACGUAAUUUGUCCUUAAAAGAAACAAAAUUUACCAAAAAACCACCAUAAUAGUUGACCUUCUUUUUAAGUUAUUUUAGAUGUGUAUAGUUUAUGCAGUUGGAUUUAGGAGAAUGUUUGCCAACAAUCUAGAAGUCCGACAUGCAUUAACAUUUGUUCGAUCCCUAUCCUUUUCCAAGAUUACUAGUAACCCGUAUCUCCAUCUCAAAAAAGGAUUGGGUUCCAAUUAUUCUCAACAUACAUCUUGCAUCAAGGUUGUAGGCGUAAAUCAUACACGGUCAUUCUCCUUCAUAAUAGGAAAAGUAUAUAAAGAGACUAAUUACUUUCAGUACAUGGAGAUUAUAAUCAUCGUUUUUUCAGAUUUUAAAUUAGAUGGUUGUAAGUGUGUCAUUGACUAAUAUCAAAGUUUAAAACACAAUUUUUUAAUUUCAUGAUACACCUAGACUAUCCAAUUUGAUAUUUAAUGGCUAGGAGUGAUUGUGACUUUGUUGUGACAAUGGUAAAUGGUCUCAAAGGAUAUAAUCCUUUUAGAAUAUAAAUUUUGGUUAAAGAUCAUUCUUACAUGAUCAUUCUGUUCUUCUUUAGUAAAUGACCUGUAACUUUGUCUGAAUUUUUUCGGAGUUUAGGAUUGUCGAACUGUUGGUGUCCACGUUUUUGGUAGAACCUAGUCUCAAAGGAUCAAUGCCCUAUAUUUUAAAAAAUCACAUCUUGCAACCUCACAAAAUCUACUGUACUAAUAAACCUUUAACUUGUCUGUUGAAGGAGCGUAUGUGAAGCAUAUGCACAGGCCACCGAGAAGCAUGCAGUCCGAUUAUUAGAGCUGAUUUCAUUGAGCUUAGAAUUGCCAGCCUCACGCUUGCAUGAUUUUUUCAAGGACCAUACGAGUUCUGCAAGGUUGAAUCGCUACCCUCCAUGCCCGUGUCCAAAUGAGGCACUAGGAGUGGGACGACACAAAGAUCCUGGAGCACUAACUGUGCUUGCACAGGACGACAUUGGUGGUCUAGAGGUGAAGCACAAGGAUGGUGAAUGGGUGGCUGUGACGCCAGUUCCAAAUUCUUAUAUAAUCAAAUGUAGGGGAUCUGAUUCAGGUAUGUGAAUGAAAAAGAACACUACUUUGGGUGAACAUUUUCUUGAAAUUCUUUUUUUUUUUUUGCGAGUAAUAAACUAUUAAUCAAGCUAAACCUAACUAAAACUGCAUUUUCAUUAUUUGUUCUCAUCUAUUCUGUCUUUAACAUUUUGUAGGUGUGGAGCAAUGAUGAGUACGAGAGUGCAGAGCACAGAGUGGUAGUGAACUCCAAGAGGGAGAGGUUUUCAAUGCCCUUCUUUUACAAUCCCUCUGCUUAUGAGUUCAUAGAACCACUUGAAGAACUGGUGUCUGAGGAAAAUCCUCCUAACUAUUUACCAUAUAAUUGGGGUCACUGUUAUAUUACCAGAAAGCUUAGCAAUUUCAAGAAGAGGAUCACUGAAAACAUUCAAAUACAACACUUCAGAGUAUCCAAGCUGAAUGCUUAGGGGGUUUCAAACUUAAGAAGUAAUCAAAUAUGUAGUGAAAUAAUGGCCAGGUAGAGUCUUUGAAGUGGUCCUACAUUGUAAUAGAGGACUUAUACUGUGAAAUGUUAGUUCGAAACACUAUGAUUUUCUUCUAUAUAAAUAUAUGGAAAAAGUUUAUAUACGGUUGCAACCUUAUACUGUUGAAGUAAGUUGCACCUAAAAAUUCUACAGUGGAGAGCGUUCAAGCAUAGGAGAACCCUCUAACUGAUCAUCUCAACCUUGUGAUGAAUGAAAGUGAAGAAAGAAAAGAAUUUCAAGUCCAAAAAAUGAUGCAUCUUGUAAUAGGGUAUCUUAACCGUCUAUUUUCAAGGUUUUCAAGUGUUCUUUGAUCUAUGCCAUUUUUGAAAUUUUAAAUUUUAUAAUUGAAGAUAAAACGAGAUUUUGAAACCAUCAUAAGGUUUUCUACGCCGAAAUGAUAUCUCUAAGUAAAUUUUCUAGGGUGCUCCUGUAUGAGGAAGCAACCUUAUACAAAGCUCACCCUAAAUAUAUUUAUAUGGACCUGUUUGCUUUUGUUGGUCUUCCUUUUUUAGGUUUAAGGUUUAUAUUUAAUUUUCAAGCUUUUAAAAAGAACAACGGGCUGUUUUUGUCAUUUGGUAUCUUGCUUUGUAUGUAUCAAAUAACAUAAACAACCUUAAUUAUUCCUUAUUAGCAGGCCUGAGUUGUGUUUAUUUGUAAUCCUAAACAAGCAGAGGUCAUUAUUGACAUUAAGGCUUAUUGGGGGGUCAAAUUCUUGAAAUACCUCAGUUCCCUGACCCUGAAGAAGGGAAUUGUGCAAACUUUUUAAGAUUUUUUGUCAGGAGGUACUUGUGUGAUAUGAAAAUAAAAAGGCAACUCCUCAAAUGAUAAUUGUGAUGAUUUUACCCCUUCAACAAUUUUACAAAGUAUUUAAACCCCUUAAAUAAUAUUUUUUCCUCAUAUGAUAUUUUUACAUAAAAAAAGAGACCACAGGAAGAUCCUUUUUUGCCGAUGUUUUGAAUCAAUUUUGCUGAAUUCAAAUAUUGAAUCCGUUUCAGUGCCAAAAAAAUACAUUUCAAAGUUCCAAACACUUAAUCGCAUUUUGGAAUUAUCUCUUUUCUGAGCCAUUUCGAUUCCGUGAAAUUGUAAAAGAAAUAUUGAAUUAAAACACUUAAAUUAUUUUGUGUAAACUUUCGAAUUGCUUUGAAUGUACAAUGUAAAUAAGUUUUGGAACCAUGUGGAAUGAUUAGACUUGAAAUCCGAGAGAUGGGGAGCUCAAAAUUGGGAUAGCCCAAUUUUUGUAACUCUCAAUUUCACCAAAAAUGCUUUUCAAAUUGAAAAGGGAUCGUGUACUCUAAGGCUCUAUUUUGGAAGAUCAUAACUUUUCUUAGCUAUUGAAUGUGAAAACUAAGGGAUUAAAAUGUAUUAUUGCCUUUGAAAAAAUUUAUCUCGGACUUUGUGCUCAAUUAGUGGUAUAUCACUAUCCAUUCGAUUUCACAUCCAAUUGAUGUCAAUGAUUGUAACCUUUUUGUAUAAAAAAAAUAAGUCGCGCUAUGUUAUACAUUUCCAAUUAAAAAAGGUAUAUCAUGUUUCCUGGAGAGCGAGAUUGGCUGAAUGAGCUUGAAAUGAAUUAAAGGGUGGAAUAUGCAUUGUGGUUAAAAAUAAAAAAAAAUCUAAAAUGAUAAAUCUCAAGGUAGGGUUGGUUCGCCUGUAAAUAUUACCUGAAAAAUAUUUGUAAAUUACGUUUCACACGUUUGAUAGAUUCCAAAUGUAUAUGCAAAUAUUUUACCAUGGCCAAUAUAUGGUAAAACAAAACCAAACAUUCAUUCCCCAGGGAAGUGCCGAAAUAGUGCCGCAAAUCCAAUUAAAUCUCACACCCUCGUGUCUCUCUCUUUCUAAAAUCAAAUUUUGCAGAUGCUCUCACGGAAGCUACCAUCUCUCUCUAAAAUCAAAUAUUACAGAUUCUUGAUUUGGGGUCAUAAUGAGUUACAUUGACACAGUGGAAUCAAGGGCACCCCCAGGGCUCGUAGUUCAUGUUGCAGAGAAUGGCCAUAGUUUUGAGCUCAACUGCAGUGAAGAAAACUCUGUUGAAGCAGUUCAGAGAUGCUUAGAAACUCUAUGCCAAAUCCAAUCCCCCCACCCACUGGAUGAUGUCGUGGACCCUGUGCUUAACGCUCUCCUCGUAUGAGAGACAAUUCCGAUACUAUUUUCAGAGAGGCCACGCCAUUUAUGUAUCCACCCAAUCAAAAUUUGAGGCCUGUAAAAGGCUUCUCAGACAACAAAGGGUUCAGGAAAGGGCUUUCGAGGCAGGUCGAGGGACAAACCAGAUUUAUGUGUAAUUUAUGAAAUGGGGGCUGAGAUUUUUCCACUAGGGACAAGUAUCUCUCUAGAUUUUUUUCACAUAUUGAUCAUGCUCUUGGGUUGGCUUGAAUUGUGUUAUAUUUUCAAACCAACCAAGUGCUACCAAACAUAUCAAACGGUGUACAAAAUGCUUUUUAAAUACCCUACACACAAUUUUCUUAGAAGUCACCAAUUCUCAGCUCUUUAGAACCCGUCUCUCCUGUUUAGGAGUUUUACGAGAGAUUCCGAUUUGAAUGGACAAGUUUUAUUUUUCAAAUACUGAUCCAUUGUCUAUACAUCGGAGGUCAGAGGAGGCAUGUGCAAUUUGGCGUGUCACAUCCAUACACAAUAACCAUAUUUCUCGCUUUUCGCAACGGGAUGGGUGGCCUGGCCUGGUGCAAUCAGCCCGGGCCCACCUGGCCUAGGGCUGGGCAAUUAUGUCAGAGGGUGAGGCUGGGUCAGGCCAGCCCUCCUCUCGGGCUCUAAUAAAACUCGGGCUGUGUGUUAAGGCCUUUUUUUCCAGUUGCAGCGGGCCCUAUGAGGAUAAGGGCCAGGCUAGGCGUCCUUACAAAGUCUUUUUGACGUGUAUAUAUAUUCGUACAAAUCACGAUGUAGAUUUAUUCCCUUGGUCAAAAAAACUACCCGAGCGUUGUUUUAUUUAUGUUUUUUUUUUUUAAUAUAUUUUUUUUCAGCAGCAAACAUGUGGGUCUCUGGCCACCUCUCAAAGCAUGGCAGGCCAUGUUCAGGGUGUCUCUCUCAAUGUAAAUCUGUUAUGGCUCUGCACGUUCUUCAACGAGUCAAUCAGGCAACUUACGGUUCAGUUUUUUACGAAAAUUUCAUCACUUUUCCUCUCUGAGCCUUAAGAAUUGCAAUAAUUACAUGCAUAUCGUUUUCUUCAAUUAUUUUUGUGGGUCCCCUUGUCCUAUCUGAGGACAGAGAAUCUUUUUCAAAUUGUUGCGUCUGUUUCGAUUGUUGUGCCCUCGUUGGUUUCAAAACUUAAUUGUUGCUUGCGAUGAUUAGUUUUCACAUCCAACUGGGUUAAAAUUAGGAUUUUCUACUUAGCUAUAUGAGCAAGGGUGCGGUUUGUAUAGAGCCGCGACUCGAAACAAUCAAAGUAAAGCGUGCUCGGUGGGGCAGCUUUAAACUCGAUUGGAUGAUUUUUGGCCAUCAAAGUAUGAGAAAUAAAAUAUGAAAUACAUAUUUUUUAAAAGACAUAAAAAUUUACGUGGUUCACUAAAAAGAUUAUAUCUACGGAUAUCAAAGAUUUUGGGACAUAAAUUUAUGUUUUUAAACCUCGACAAAGCCCAGUCAUGUAAGCCCUUUUAGAUCUCUUUUAAACCUACUCUCCUAAAUAUCUGUAUUCCAUAAUUAAACCACUAUGUAGAAUACAACUUUGAGAACAAUCGAGAUUUUCUCUUACUAUGAAAGAAAAAACCACUCAAAAUCUCCAUCGAAGCCGCUUCUCUACAAGAAAAACAAAGAAAAAAAAGCACUCAAAAUCUCUGUCGAAACCGUUUCUUUAUAAGAAAAACAAGCAUUCUUAUAUAUAUGAGGAACAAUCACAAUGUUUCUUUCCAUAAGAAGCUAUAUUCUCUCUAAGGGAGAAUGAGCCUUUCAAUAUAUAUGAUACACAAUCACAACGUUUACGUAGAAUUUGCAAUAAAAGAAAUAGCGAUGAAGGAAAGAGAAACAAAAAUUAACACGACAUAUACGUAGUUUGGCAAUAGUGCCUACGUCUAUGAAGAGUAAACCAGUAUCUCGUUACAAGGGAUUACCCUGGUUUACCAGAUAUUUAUAAAGUUACAAUUAUUGUCUUUUAGGAAACUAACCUCACUACAAUAGUAAUCUUAUAAAAUAUGAAACUCAAUAUAAGAAACUUAAUAUCUUGUAAUAUACAAGAUAUGAAACUAAAUAUCUGGUUUAUAUAACUGUUAACGCUCCCCCUCAAUUUGGUGCGCAGAUAUCAAUGGAGCCAAACUUGGACAAUAUCUAAUGGAACUUUGUUUUUGCAAUAGCUUUGGUAAACAUGUCUGCAAGUUGGUAUUCACUUUGAACAUAAUGAGUACUAAUAAUUUUUUACAAAACCGUUUCUCUCACAAAGUAACAAUCAACUUCUAUAUGCUUGGUUCUUUUAUGAAAAAAUGGAUUGGAAGAUAUAUACAUAGCUGUUUGAUUAUCACAAAACAUCUUCAUUGGAUUGACCGUUAGGAACCCUAUAUAUCGAAGUAGGUAUUUUAGCUACAUAAAUUUACUUGAAGUUGAAGUCAUAUUUCUAUAUUCGGCCUGUAUACUGGAUCGAGCAACUGCAUUUUGUUUCUUACUUUUUCAAGUAACUAAGUUUCCACCGACUAAUGUCCAAGAACCGGUAGUGGACCUCUUAUCAAUUCGACUAUCUGCCCAAUCAACAUCAAAAUAAAUAAUAAUAUUAGUGUGACCAUUCGGUUUCAACCAAACACCUCUACCGGGUAACGACUUAAGAUAUCUGAGAAUCCUAUAGACAAGUUCCAUGUGACAUGAUCGAGGAGUAUACAUAAAUUGGCUCAUAAGACUAACCACAUACAUUAUAUCUGGUCGUGUCACAGUCAAAUAAAUCAAUCUGCCCACAAGUCUUUGAAAGUGGUUCACAUCUUCAAAAUGUUUUCCAUUUGUUGAAUUAAGUUUGCAAUUAAUAUCAACAGGAACGUCAAUGGGUCUAAUACAUAUUUCCCAGUUUCUUUCAACAUACAUAUUUCCUUUGAAAAAUGAAUAGUUCUUUUUUUGAAUGUGCUACUUCAAUGCUAAGAAAAUACUUUAGUUGACCAAGAUCAUUGAUGUCAAAUUUCUUGUGAAUAUAAUUUUUAAGCUUCAUGAUGCUUUAUUUAUCAUUAUCUGUAAUGAUAAUAUCGUCAACAUAAAUGAAUACAACUGUUGUACCUGAAGUUCCCAUUUUUUGUGAACAUCGAAGAAUCGACUGAAUUUUAAGAAACCCAAUGCUCAUCAAAGCAGAGCUGAGUUUGACAUACCAUGCACGAUGUAAUUGUUUAAGUCUAUACAAAGCCUUCUUUAAUUUGCAUACAAGUCCUUUAUCCCUUUUUUUAGAAUGACUUAGGGAAAAAAUCAUAUAGAUGUCUUCGUGAAGGUCACAUAUAAGAAGGCAUUUUUAACAUCUAUCUUAUGCAAAGAUCAUCUAUAAUUAACUGCGAUAGAUAAAAGAACACGAACCAUAUUCAUCUUGACAAUUGGUGCACAAGUCUAUUCAUAGCCGACUCCAUAAGUUUGGGUAAAUCCUUUGGCCACUAACCUGGUAUUAUGCCUCUCAACAGACGAAUCACUAAUAUAUUUGAUUUUAUAAACUCAUCUACAUCCAGCUGUUUUCUUUCAUUUAAGUAGCUUGACAAUGUCUCAAGUAUGAUUCCUGUCAAGUGCUUGAAGUUCUUCUUUCAUGUCAUUCCUCCACACAGAUUGAGAAAUAGCAUUUUUAAAAUUGGUUGGUUCAGAAUUAUUGGAAAUAAAAUUUUAAAAAAUAAAAUUGGCAGGAGAUAUAUUUUCAUAGGAAAUAUAAUUUUAAUAGGAUAAGAAACUGCAUGGUAAAUAUAAAAAUAUUGAAGUAAAGAAGAAUAUUGAGAGAAACGAGGAGACCUGUGCAACGGGAGAUUAGGUGGGGCCGGGUCCGCAGCUACGACGUAGUCGUCUUCUUCUAAACCAAUUUGGUAAAUUUCAGAGGUAUCUUUAGUUUCAGCUUAAUCAUCAUGACUUGUUCUAGGUGUGUUGGACACAUUGCUAGUAUUAAUAUCAUGUAAGGGACAAUGACCUCUUGAACACUCCCCUGGGGUCCUAUUUUCUAAACCACUAUUCAAUGUGUCAUGGAAAUAUGACUCUAUUUUAACACGCUUUGAGUAAAGCAAUAUCCAAGAAGAAUACAUCUAUUGGAACGUUUAUCAAGUUUAUCGCGGUUGUGCCCAGCUACAAGAACAUAAAACACGCAUCCAAAUACUUGCAAAUGAGACAAGUCAAUUUUUCUAUUUUUCAAAAUUUCAAAGGGAGAUUUAUCUUUAAGAAUUUUACUUGGAAGUCUGUUAAUCAAAUAACAAGCAGUUAAAACAGCUUCAGAUCAAUAAAUUUUUGGAAAAAGUAUCUGAAACAUUAAAGACCUUGUAGCUUCCAAAAUGUUUCUAUUUUUCCUUUUAGCAAUUCCAUUCUCCUGAGGUGUUUCAACACUUAAUGUUUGGUGCAUAAUAUCAAGAUUCAAUAAAUACUGAGAAAAAACUUUGUUUACAUACUCUGUAUUAUCAUUCCACAAAAUUCUAAUCUUGCCAUUGUAUUGACUAGAAAUCAGUUUGAAAAAUUCUUUUAACACAUGAAAAACUUCUAUUUUAUUUCAAUAAAUAUACCUAAGUAGCAAUCAUCAAUAAAAAUAAUGAAAUAUUUAAAACCGACAUAAGAAUCAACUAGGGCUGGUCCCCACACAUCAGAAUGUAUCAAAUAAAUAUGUUCAUUUGAAACAUGCAUAGAAGACUGAAAAUGAAGUCUUGUAUAUUUUGAGAAUUUACAGAUUUCAUAGGAGUUAAAGUUUAAGGAUAUAGAGGACAUUAAUAUUUUUAAAACUUUAACUGAGGGGUGUCCAAAUCUCUAAUGCUAUAAUUGUUUAAUAUUAUAAUUAUCUUGACUGGCAACUAAAGCCUUAUUCUUCUGAUUAAAUAAAUAUAGCCUAUGAGAUAGUCUUCCGUCACCAAUCUUUCUCCUUGUAGCCCGAUCUUGGAAUGUCUCAGAGUUCAGAAAAAAAAUAACAUUGCAAUUCAUGCUCUAAGUAAUUCUACUAACAUACAUCAAGUUAGAGGAAAGUGAUGGCAUAAAAAGAACUUCAGAGUUUUCAGAUUUGGAGAAGAAAUUGGUGUUGCCAACACCAUGGAUGGGAAUCACGGAACCAUUGACAAUACAUUUAUGAUUCAUAUUUUCAUUAAUUUUGAGGUCAGAUAGAUAUUGAAAUUGCCAGUCAUAUGAUCUGUGGCCCCUGAAUCUAUUAUCUAAGAAAAAAUGUCACAGAAAGUCAUAAAAGCAGAAGGCUUACCCGUAUCUGGGAAUGAAGAAGAAUGAUCUUGUGCGGAGGAAGAGCCAUUGUUGUUACUUGGUCGAUGAUAAUGAUCACAGUUGCAAUGAUGAGUUUGAGUGGUUGUGGUUUGAUCGAUAGAUCUGUUUGGGUCUCUACCUCCACUAUUAUUUUGAGGUAUUUUUGUUUAAUAUUUUUCAUUAUUAGCAACUAAGGGAGAUUUUUCAAUACUUUCUUCAGAGGUUUUGAAACCAAAAUUCAUGAUUAUCUUCAUAGUUAUGUAUCAAAAUUUAAAUUUUUCAAAAAAAAAAUAAAAAACAGCUUUUGACCAAACAAGAUAAUUAAGUUUAUUCAAAAGAACAAUAUUAAGUUUUAUGUUGGAAUUAUUUUCUGAAUCAACCAUUUACAAGAAGAUAAAGAUAACCAGAAGCCUGACCUGAUUAGAGUAGAAGAUGCCUUAAUCAGAAACAAUCGAAGACCCAAAUAAGUAUUAUUGUUCCUCUCUCUAUAAAUUGACAAUAUGUAUCUAAUAACUAUCCCUUCGAGGUUCAAUCUGAUGCGCAUACGAAAUGAACAGCUGCUUCGUCAAUAAGUAUACAAUUGCAACAAACCAUUGUAUGAGCUUCCAAUACAUCAACGAAAAUGAUAUCCUCAACCUUCAAUGAAGAUGAAUUAACUAAACAACAAAGGGCUUUCUUUAGUGAUAUGAGGAAAUUUUAUAGAAAGCAAAUUUGUAUUCUCACGCAUAAAGCAAAUUUCGUUGAAAUUUGAUGAUCGACCUGCUAUCCUCGCACAUAAAGCAAAUUUGCAUCCUUAGGCAUAAAGCAAAAUUUGGCUUCUAGGUCUCCCCACGCAUAACAAAGCCCCACAAUGGAAGCAAGACGAGGGUAAUAAGGAACGUUUGCAUCAAGGUCACCAUGCUCUCUUAUGUUUUUCGUUUUUGUAUGGGCCAAUGAUAAUGACCAAAUUAGAAACAAUAUCCUAUAACUUCCUAAAAAUGUUGCUCAUCUUUAUCUCAUUUUAGAAAGUUUUUUUCUUUUUAAAUUUUUUUUUUUAAAAGACAAUUUUUAUUUAAUGGCCCUCUCUCAACAUUGAUCAUCUCGACUUGAACAUUGUGGUUGUAAAAAAAAAAAGUAUAUCAAGCUCUAAAAAUAGUGAAUAUUAGAAAAAAUUACCUAAUCCAUCUAUUUCACUUUAAAAAUAAGUGUCGCCAGAUUAGCAAGAUGUAUAUUAUUUUUUAGUUUCAAAUUUGAUUGUUGAUAUUAAAAAUUGAUUUUAGAGCCACAAUUCCUUUGUCAAAAAAUGCUUUCAAAGAUUUAAGAUCAGGCUCUAUUUUUUUUUCCAUAAUGCCUGGGCCUUGUAGAAACCUCAUCCUUCUAUUUUUGCUUUUUGUUGCCACUUGUAGGUUUACAUGAUGAACGAGAGAAACGUAUGGUAAUGGAGAUUCGGUAUCUCUUGAAAAGUUAAAAGCUCCUCUGAACAUAUGAGAAACCUACUUCCAUUCUCUCCUGGUAGAGGUCUUCUGUUAGUGAGAGUGAAUCAAGAGCUUUUACAGUGAGAGAAAGGUCUCCAGCUAGUGAGAGAAAACCAAGAGAUUUUACCCUCAUAAUUCAAAAAGGGUUUAGAAACCUCAUAAUUCAUCAUGGGCCUGGAAUCAAAACCUUUUGAAAUGGACACAGCCUUCAUCCAGGCACCUGAGCACAGGCCCUCACUCAUCUCUCACCAAGUUGCAGAAGGUGUUCGACCUCUCUCCUCUCCUAUCGCCGAAUUCCAAGAAAUCGUACCUGCUCUCUCCAGAAUCUAUAGAUCCUGCA
rnacentral:lncRNA from 1 species